CAGUAGCCGCGGUAAUACAGAGGGUGCGAGCGUUAAUCGGAUUUACUGGGCGUAAAGCGUGCGUAGGCGGCUUCUUAAGUCGGAUGUGAAAUCCCUGAGCUUAACUUAGGAAUUGCAUUCGAUACUGGGAAGCUAGAGUAUGGGAGAGGAUGGUAGAAUUCCAGGUGUAGCGGUGAAAUGCGUAGAGAUCUGGAGGAAUACCGAUGGCGAAGGCAGCCAUUUGGCCUAAUACUGACGCUGAGGUACGAAAGCAUGGGGAGCAAACAGGAUUAGAUACCCCAGUAGUCCCUGUCUCUUAUAC
rnacentral:rRNA from 1 species